rnacentral:rRNA from 1 species
AUUGAGCGCUGGCGGCAUGCCUUACACAUGCAAGUCGAACGGCAGCACGGGAGCAAUCCUGGUGGCGAGUGGCGAACGGGUGAGUAAUAUAUCGGAACGUGCCCAGUCGUGGGGGAUAACGCAGCGAAAGCUGUGCUAAUACCGCAUACGAUCUACGGAUGAAAGCGGGGGAUCGCAAGACCUCGCGCGAUUGGAGCGGCCGAUAUCAGAUUAGCUAGUUGGUGGGGUAAAGGCCUACCAAGGCGACGAUCUGUAGCUGGUCUGAGAGGACGACCAGCCACACUGGAACUGAGACACGGUCCAGACUCCUACGGGAGGCAGCAGUGGGGAAUUUUGGACAAUGGGCGCAAGCCUGAUCCAGCAGUGCCGCGUGCAGGAUGAAGGCCUUCGGGUUGUAGACUGCUUUUGUACGGAACGAAACGGUGAGCUCUAAUACAGUUUGCUAAUGACGGUACCGUAAGAAUAAGCACCGGCUAACUACGUGCCAGCCGCCGCAGUAA